rnacentral:tRNA from 1 species
GGGUAUAUAGCUCAGUGGUAGAGUUCGUGCCUAGCACACACAAGGUCCUGGGUUCAAUCCCCAGUUCCCCUA